rnacentral:lncRNA from 10 species
UGUGGAUCUGUUUCAGUUUAUCCUACUUAGAGAUUGUUGAGCUUCUUGGAUGUUGAGCUUCUUGGACAUGAAGAUUAAUGUUUUUCAUCAAAUGUAUUGGUUUUGAAAAUGCUCCCAAGGAAAGCUGCAUACAAAUAUCCAUCUCAGAGUCUAAUUCCAAGGAACCCAGUCCAGAUGGCUGCCUUCCAGAGUCUGGGUUCUCUGCCACUGUUUGAUAUUGCAGGCAGUCUAUUAGUCAAUGAGAAUGAAAUCAUGUUCUUGAAACCAGGAAUCCCGAGAGGACCCACAUAUCCUCUGAAAGAAGCCAACUGCUCCUGCAGGACCCGGGAGACACCCAAAAUA